GACUAGCGACAUUUUUUUUUUAUUGCACCAUUCAAUUCAGCGUACACGAAUACACCUUCUCACAAAUUUUCAUUAAGAUAUCAGUAAAAAUGAAGAAAUUAUUACAAAAACAAUGAAAUUGUGCAACAUUGAUAAAAAUAUUUUUCCCCCAUAAUAAGAAAGUUUACACAGAAGCAGAUCCUACCUACCUACCUGACGACCUACUUGACAUUCCACUAAUACUGCAACCCAAUCCAGUACAACCCAGUGGAAGAAUGACCAGAAAUGCAAAAAUAUUUCAAGAAACUAUGGGAUAUCUUCUCGUCGUAGUCAACAUGAGACACAUUCUCUUGAAGGUUCUACCGAAAAGCAAAGAGGGGGUGAUCGGAAAGGAGCAAAAUGUUCAAGAAAACACUUAAUGACUAACUGU
rnacentral:lncRNA from 1 species